GUAAGUGCUGUGAGGCAUUGAGCUAACUGAUACUAAUUGCCCGUGAGGCUUAACCAUACAACACCCAAGGGGUUU
rnacentral:rRNA from 1 species